UACGUAGGGUGCAGGCGUUGUCCGGAAUUAUUGGGCGUAAAGAGCUCGUAGGCGGUCUGUCGCGUCUGCUGUGAAAACCUAGGGCUUAACUCUGGGCGUGCAGUGGGUACGGGCAGACUAGAGUGCGGUAGGGGAGACUGGAAUUCCUGGUGUAGCGGUGAAAUGCGCAGAUAUCAGGAGGAACACCGGUGGCGAAGGCGGGUCUCUGGGCCGUAACUGACGCUGAGGAGCGAAAGCGUGGGUAGCAAACAGG
rnacentral:rRNA from 1 species